rnacentral:snRNA from 1 species
GUGCUUGCUUCAGCAGCACAUAUACUAAAAUUAGAAUGGUACAGGGAAGAUUAGCAUGGCCCCUGCACAAAGAUGACAUGCAAAUUUGUGAAGUGUUCCAUAUUUUU